GGGGCAGGGAGGGGGCCGCAGGAAGCGGUUACUUACCUUCCCAGCAGCUCCCUUCUGCUCCCUGUGUAAAUAUCGCGAUUUACACAGGGAGCUGCUGGAAAGUUAAGUAAGCGCUUGCUGCCAACCCCCACUGCACGUCCAUGCCAGUGGACCACCAGGGAAUGCUAUAUUCCCCCUCAUUGGCCAGGUAACAAGCAGGGAGGGGGGCC